rnacentral:lncRNA from 1 species
AUGGUCAUUUAUUAAAGUUAUAAAUGUAAAAACCCUCUUUUUCAGUUCAACUUAUCUACUUGGGAGGCUGAUGUGGGAGGAUCACUUGAGUGCAGGAGGCAGAGGCUACAGUGAGCCGUUACAUAUAUCAUGAAAUACUAUGCAGCUAUAAAGCAGAAUGAGAUCAUGUCCUUUACAGGGACAUGGAUGGAGCUGGAGACCAUUAUCCUUAGCAAACUAACGGAGGGACAGAAAACAAAUACUACAAGUUCUCACUUACAAGUGGGAACUAAAUGAGGAGAACGCAUGGACACAGAGAGAGUAACAAGACACACUGGAGCCUUUUGGAGGGUGGAUGGUGGGAGGAGGGAGAGAAUCAGGAAAAGUAACUAAUGGGUACUAGGCUUAAUACCUGGAUAAUGAAAUAAUUUGUACAA